GGACGAACGCUGGCGGCGUGCCUAACACAUGCAAGUCGAGCGGAGGUACUUGAGGAGUAAUCUGAGGGUACUUUAGCGGCGGACGGGUGAGUAACGCGUGAGCAACCUGCCUUUCACAGGGGGAUAAGGCGGCGAAAGCCGCUCUAAUACCGCAUGAGACCACGGGGAUGAUAUUCCAGGGGUCAAAGGAGCAAUCCGGUGAGAGAUGGGCUCGCGUCCGAUUAGGUAGUUGGUGAGGUAACGGCCCACCAAGCCAAUGAUCGGUAGCCGGCCUGAGAGGGUGAACGGCCACAUUGGAACUGAGAGACGGUCCAAACUCCUACGGGAGGCAGCAGUGGGGAAUAUUGGGCAAUGGGGGAAACCCUGACCCAGCAACGCCGCGUGAGGGAAGAAGGUUUUCGGAUUGUAAACCUCUGUUCUUGGAGAAGAGAAGAAGACGGUAUCCAAGGAGGAAGCCCCGGCUAACUACGUGCCAGCAGCCGCGGUAAUACGUAGGGGGCGAGCGUUGUCCGGAAUGAUUGGGCGUAAAGGGCGCGCAGGCGGCUGUGUAAGUCAGUAGUGGAAGUCCAGCUUUCAAGGUUGGAAGUGCUAUUGAAACUGUACAGCUUGAGUGCAGGAGAGGUUAUCGGAAUUCCCGGUGUAGCGGUGAAAUGCGUAGAGAUCGGGAGGAACACCAGUGGCGAAGGCGGGUAACUGGACUGCAACUGACGCUGAGGCGCGAAAGUGUGGGGAGCAAACAGGAUUAGAUACCCUGGUAGUCCACACGGUAAACGAUGAAUGCUAGGUGUAGGGGGUAUCGACCCCUUCUGUGCCGGAGUCAACACAAUAAGCAUUCCGCCUGGGGAGUACGGUCGCAAGAUUAAAACUCAAAGGAAUUGACGGGGGCCCGCACAAGCAGCGGAGCGUGUGGUUUAAUUCGUUGCUACACGAAGAACCUUACCUGGGUUUGACAUAGCAGUGGUAGGGAAGCGAAAGCGGACCGACCCUUCGGGGAGCUGUUACAGGUGUUGCAUGGCUGUCGUCAGCUCGUGUCGUGAGAUGUUCGGUUAAGUCCGCUAACGAGCGCAACCCUCGCUGUGUGUUACAAGUGUCACACGGUACUGCCGGUAUUAAGUCGGAGGAAGGUGGGGAUGACGUCAAGUCAGCAUGACCUUUAUAUCCAGGGCUACACACACGCUACAAUGGUCAGUACAAUAGGUUGCCAAGCCGCGAGGCGGAGCCAAUCCUAAAAAGCUGGCCUCAGUUCAGAUUGCAGUCUGCAACUCGACUGCAUGAAGUUGGAGUUGCUAGUAACCGCAGGUCAGCUAUACUGCGGUGAAUACGUUCCCGGGGAU
rnacentral:rRNA from 1 species